rnacentral:misc_RNA from 1 species
CUGCUUUUCUCAUGUUCCUUUCUUCUGCUGUCUUCUUCUUGGGAACAAGAAUUUAUGUUAUUGUUGAACCUGAAGGCAGCCCCAUGACUAGUGUGGCUCAAGUUCUUGUUGUUGCUGUAAAAAAACGAGGGCUGAAGCUUCCUCAGAACCCUGCUUUUUCCCUUUUCAACUAUAUUCCUGCCAAAUCUAUCAACUCCAAGCUCCCUCACACAAAUCAGUUCAGGUUCCUUGACAAGGCAGCAAUCGUUACAGAAAAAGACCAAAUAAACUUGGAUGGCUCAUCUGCCAAACCUUGGAGACUAUGCAGUAUCCAGCAAGUUGAAGAAGUGAAAUGUUUGAUCAGAAUAAUUCCAAUAUGGGCAUCAGCCAUAAUCUACCAUGUUCCCUUAAUCCAACAACAGACCUAUGCAGUUCUCCAAGCACUGCAACUUGACAGACGUCUAGGUACUGGCAGUUUUGAAGUACCUGCUGCCACAUUUAUUAUCUUCACUAUGCUUGCCCUCACUAUUUGGAUUCCCAUUUAUGACCGAAUCCUGGUUCCGUUUCUUCAAAGACUUACUGGCAAAGAAGGUGGAUUCACACUUCUCCAGAGAAUGGGAAUUGGAAUCUUACUCUCAGUUCUUUGUAUGUUCGUUUCCGGUUUGGUCGAGGGACAUAGAAGACAUAUUGCUCAUACUAAGCCAACUCUAGGCAUAUCACCCAAAGGAGGUGCUGUAUCAUCAAUGUCUUGGAUGUG